UGACAAUUAUAUUAGCUG
rnacentral:snRNA from 1 species